CCUAAAUGCAGGGGCCUGGGAGGCCUGUUUGUUUCCUAGUUUUUUGUCCUGGUUCCAGUUCAAGCUGCUGAGACUGAGGGCUGAUGGUUUCACUGCACCUUUUUGUUCCCUCAGAAAGCUGAGGACAAGAUUGAAGGAAAUGCUCAAGCUUCAGCCUGUCUUCUUCUACCUUACUCCUACCCAUUUCUUGGACCUUACAGUGCUCUGCAAUCUCAAAGCAUGGUAGAAAGUGGUAUUUAACAAAGACAAAUUAUUCCUCCUUUAAAACUCAGUUUACUAAUUAUGAAUUGUCUUGGCCAGAAGUUAAUACAAAAGACUGUAAGAACUAAGUGAACAGAAAUUUUCUUGGGUGAACCGGGUUGUGGAACAGGGAAGUUCAAGGGAUUUUUGUCUUCAGGAGAUGAGGCUCUUGCUAAGUAACUACAAUACUGCUAGCUCCAGGAUGGCUAUAGUCACACAACACUAUUCAAUACCGUUCUUGUAUAGCAGCUCAAAUGUAGAGCCAGAGACUGGUCUGUGCUUCGCUGAGGUAGAGAGGAUGUGAACAUGCUUAUGCUGUGUUAGGGCAUGAAGUAGUUGUACAGGUACCAGCAAAUACACUGGUCAGAGUAAAACAGGCUUCACUCCAUGCAGUAAUGGACAUUUAUAUGCACACACUCUUAAAAUCCAGUUAGUUCCCUAUUUCUAAAUUUCACUUGAGUUGUGAAACAAAACAAUACCACUUUACAUCUACUGAGGCAAAAAUUCUCAUUUCAAAUUCAAUGCUGAACAUGCCAUUGACUGAAGAUGGUUUGGCUUGCAUGAGUGAGCCUGUUUUCAAUAGAAAUACUCAAUUUUAUCAAUUAUCAAUUUUGAAACUUAGAUGCUUAUGGAGCUGAAGUCUCUUAAGCCAAAACCCUAGACUCAUCAGCUUAAAUAGGCAUGCUCUUCAGUGGCAAUAACAAACUGACAAGACAACAAGAGGUAAAUUUCAUGUUUUUAAUGCUGAUCUGAACAGUCUCCCGUAAAACCAAAGCACCAAACGUUGGGUCUCUUUCAACCAAGUGUAAUGACGCUGAGUUAGGAACCUGCCUGGACACACUUUGUUUUCAGUAUUCAUCGUUGAAGGGGUACUCUGGAUGGUCACGCCAC